rnacentral:lncRNA from 1 species
AUGGGCCGCUGCCCGGCUCGGUGUUACUAGUAUUAUAAGAGCAAGCCAUACCCAAAGUCUUGUUUCUGCCGUGGCGUCUCUGAUGCUAAGAUCUGCAUCUUUGACUUGGGCCAGAAGAAAGCAAAAGUUGAUGGUUUCCCACUUUGUGGUCACACGGUGUCAGAUGAAUAUGAACAUCUCUCUUCUGAAGCACUGGAGGCUGCCCAUAUUUGUGCCAACAAAUACAUGGUAAAGAGUUGUGGCAAGGAUGGCUUUCAGAUCCGAGUGAGGAUCUACCUUUUCCAUGUCAUCCGUAUCAACAAGAUGCUGUCCUGUGCUAGGGCUGACAGGCUCCAGAUAGUAUGCCUGGUGCAUUUGGGAAGUCCCAAGGCACAGUGGCCAGGGUUCACAUUGGCCAGGUCAUUGAGUCCAUCUGCACCAAGUUGCAGAAAAAAGAAAGUGUGAUUGAGGCUCUGCUCAGAGCCCAGUUCAAGUCCCCUGGCAGCCAGAAGAUCCACAUCUCUAAAAAUUGGGGCUUCACCAAGAUUAAUGCAGAUGAAUUUGGAGACAUGGUUGCUGAGAAGCGGCUCAUUCCUGAUGACUGUGGUGUCAAAUAUAUCCCCAAUCGUAGUCCUCUGGACAAGUGGAGAGCCCUGCAUUCC